rnacentral:rRNA from 1 species
AUUGAACGCUGGCGGCAGGCCUAACACAUGCAAGUCGAGCGGAUGAAGGGAGCUUGCUCCUGGAUUCAGCGGCGGACGGGUGAGUAAUGCCUAGGAAUCUGCCUGGUAGUGGGGGAUAACGUCCGGAAACGGGCGCUAAUACCGCAUACGUCCUGAGGGAGAAAGUGGGGGAUCUUCGGACCUCACGCUAUCAGAUGAGCCUAGGUCGGAUUAGCUAGUUGGUGGGGUAAAGGCCUACCAAGGCGACGAUCCGUAACUGGUCUGAGAGGAUGAUCGGUCACACUGGAUCUGAGACACGGUCCAGACUCCUACGGGAGGCAGCAGUGGGGAAUAUUGGACAAUGGGCGAAAGCCUGAUCCAGCCAUGCCGCGUGUGUGAAGAAGGUCUUCGGAUUGUAAAGCACUUUAAGUUGGGAGGAAGGGCAGUAAGUUAAUACCUUGCUGUUUUGACGUUACCAACAGAAUAAGCACCGGCUAACUUCGUG